UUACAUCAAAAUCCAAUUUAACCUUACCUAACCCACCAAAAUUAAACCCAAAACCCAAAAUCUUAACUACCCAAAGCCCAAUUUACAUCAAAACCCCAAUGGCCCAAACCCUAAGCCCAAAUCAAAAUAAAAAAAUCCUAGCCCACAACCUAAACUUUUCUCAACUAAAUCCUAGCCUUUGCCACCACCAACUCCACUAGCCACACUUGCUCCACCACCAACUCCACUAGCCACACUUGCUCCACCACCUACUCCACUAGCCACACUUGCUCCACCACCUACUCCAUUAGCCACACUUGCUCCACCACCACUUGUACCUACAAAUGAAAACAUAAACAAUAAAAAAUAUUUGGUAAAUGGCUAUAUAAGCCUUCUCAUAUUUUGUAUUUAGGAGAGGAAGAAGUUUUGGAGGAGAAAGUUAUUGUAAAGGAUUUUUGAGAGGUUUUUUUCGAGUAAUCAAGGAGAAGAGUUAUUGAGGCUAGUUUUUGGAGAGGCUAGUUUUUUUUUUGGAGAUUGAUCAAAUAUCAAAGCAAAAGAGGUUUAUUGGUCUAUUCUCGUUUUAAGUUCUUUGUUUGCUUAUUAUUUUCCUUUCAGGUUUAUUUUGUUUCUUUUAUACGAAAGUAAAAAUAAAAGGAGGAAGCUUUCCCAUUUUUACCAAAAAAGUUUUUUUUUGAAGUCCGGCUGCCGUGUACGGUGGCACCGACGGUGGUCGGCGGCGGCCCGGUGACCAGACGGUGGCCGGCCUUGUGGCCGGAAAUCACCCACUCACUCCCUCUCUUUUUUUGUUAUUAUUAUAUUUUUUAAUAUUAUAUUAUAUAUAUAUUCUUUUAAUAUAUUAGGUAUAUUCUAAAUUCUAUAUUACGUAUAUAUAUUAUACUAUUUUAUGUAUAUAUCUUUAAUACUAUAUUAUUUAUAUUUUUUUUUCUACAUGUUAUCUUAUGUAUAUAUUUUAAUUAUAUUAUGUAUGUAUUUUUUACACUAUAUUAUGUACAUAUUUUUUUUAUAUCUAUUUCAUACAUAUGUAUAUAUUAUAUAUAUCUUAACAUUACUAGUUAUAUUUUCACUAUUUUAUGUAUAUACUUCAAACACUAUAUAUAGUAUAUUUCUAACACUAUUACUAUUUAUAAAUAUAUAUAUAUUUUACGUACAUACUCUUAAUAUCUUUAUUAUGUAUAUAUUCGUUGUUUUUAUUUCACAUUGGAUACUAUUAUUACGUUUAAUAUAUCGCAUGCAUUGUUAUUAUUUUAAUAUUGUUGUCAUAUUUAUUAUUUGUUUCAAUGUAUUUCCAACUCGUUUAUUUUUGUCUCCCGCCUAUUUUAUAUCAUUUUGUUGUUCAUUACUUUAAAGAUUUUUAUUCAUGUUUUUACUAAUUUAAAUAAAUAAGGCAAUGUUUCGCAUUUUGGAACAUCGAAGAAUUGUGCCCUAACUUACGGGGUUUCGAUUCUCUUGUUGGUUCUAAAUAGCUAAAUAUCCUUUUGAGUUUUGAAAUGCACGGAUUUCCAAUUUAAAUUAAAAGACGACCUUGUGCUUGGGAAUUCAUGGUAUUGUGUCCUAACUUACGGGAUGUGAUACUCCGAUAUCUCGAGAUAAGGAAAUCUUUAAACAAAUCGAUUUAAGCUAAUUCAAGAAUUUUAAAAUUAGUAUUAAUAGAAAAGAUCGUAUUUCAAGUCCCUUCCCGAUUUUUAAUUUUUGGACAUUAAGACACUAACUAAUCAAUUCGGUACCAAUUUUUUGGGGGUGUCGAGGGUGCUAAUCCUUCCUCGCACGUAACCGACUCCCGAACUCAUUGUCUAAAGUUUCGUAGACCAAAGGCCCUAUUUUAGUAAACUAAAAUUGAUUUAUUAAAACAAAGGUGAUCCGAUCACACCUGAUAAAAGAUUGGUGGCGACUCCCGUUUUAAUUUUCAUUUUCAAACAAAGUCGAUCCCUGUUUUCAAAAGAAUGGUUUCGACAGCUUGACGACUCCACUGGGGAAUUCGAGAGUCGAGCCUUAAAUUGAUUUUUUUUUUGUCUUUUUUCAAAAAUCGAAAAUCGAUUUCAAAUUUACUGCAUUGCAUGUUGUCUGUUAUUUUCGCGACUCUCUUCAUAAUAUGCUUGCUUUAAGUGGUUUAAUUCUUUGAGGUAUCUUUGCAUAUCGCAUCGCAUUAUUGGUCGAUUUCACCCUCUUAAGUGGAAGUGAAAAACUACUCAUUCGUGAGGUCUUCACCUCCGUAUAGGAUAGUGGAUCGCUUUCGGGAUACAUCUGUACCUGUUUCUUCGUGGGGUUUUCACCUCCGUAUAGCCAUAGGGAAAUGUAUUCCCCUGAAUCAAACUCGGUCUAUAUGAACCUAUAAUGGGUGAGGAUCGAGGAAUCUGCUGGUUCAGGUACCUUUACUUUAGAACCAAACUACAUGUAAUGAGCCCUAGGAGCCUACCCUAGGUAGAACCACACCAAACCCUAGUGGUUACCUGAUUAGGUGCUUAUUUACUCACUAUUUGCUUUGAAUUCUAUUCUUUGUAUAUAAUACUAACUUGUUGUAUUUUGAUCAUUUCCGCAUGACAUUUCAUCAUAAAAGGGUGUUGAUUUACGUUCGGUUACUAAUUAGAAGAGUUUAGGAUGGAAAAAGGAUAUCUUGAUAGAAUGGAGGAUAAUGCGGCCGUCCGAGUGUGGUCUGAGAGAACACAACAGGAGAAAGGAGAUAGUUUGACCGAGGGAUAUGAAUCGAAGUUGUGGGAUUUCACUCGCAUCAGUGUGACUCAGAACGACCUGCAAGAGUUAAGAGAUAUAUGGAAUAGUUGGAAUGGCGAAGCCAAACAACUCUUUUACUGUAACUAUGGUGACCUACCCUAUUUGCUUGAUGUAAAGGUGGACAAGUACUUGUUCCGGGCCCUCGCGCAAUUUUGGAACCCCGCUUACAGUUGCUUCACUUUCGGAGGAGUUGAUUCAGUACCUACGGUGGAGGAAUACAUGGCGUUACUUAAUUGCCUGAAGAUUCAGGCCGAUAGGGCCUAUUCAAGACCUGUUAAUGUCCCUCCCUUUUUGAAGAAAUUGAUGAAUAUCACGGGGAUGAGCGAGCAAUGGGUUGCGACCUGCAUCAAGCAAAAAGGGGAUAGUAAAUGUAUUCCUUGGAGGAAUUUGAGGGAUUUUAUUCUUGCGCACCCGGAUUCGAAAAAAAUGGUUGAUGUUUUUGCCUUAAGUCUCUACGGUUUGAUUGUCUUUCCUAAAGCACUUGGACACAUAGAUGAAGUCAUCUCAGAUUUAUUCGAUCGACUUAAUAAAGGUACCACACCCGUCCCGGCAAUCCUAGCAGAAACUUUUCGAUCCUUGAAUACAUGCCGGAGAGCGGGCGAGGGAAGAUUUAUUGGUUGCGCACAGCUUCUUUUGGCUUGGUUCCACAAUCAUUUUUGGAAGGUGGAGAAGGUCUCCUAUCGGGUAUUCUCUAAGGAUUAUUCCCCAUUAAGAGAAUUAGUGGCCACAUCGAGGCGGGACGACAUCUCCGAAGAGAGGUGGAUAACUAUUCUCCAAAAUUUACAGGCCGAAGACGUUGAAUGGAGGGCUCCGUGGUUGAUUUCUGACGAGAUCUUAUAUAGGUGCGGUGAUUUUGACUGGGUCUUUCUGGCUGGAAUAUGAGGAGCCAUUGGAUACGCUCCAUUAAUGGUGUUAAGGCAGUAUCGAUCAAGGCAGUUUAUACCGGUGACACAAGGGUUGGCACAAUGUGAGUUCCCCUAUAAAGAAAACAAUUAUAAAAAGAUGGUUCGCGAGAUAUCAGAUGCAUGGAACCAAACUCGAAGAAUGAAAGGAUUCACUGCAGGCCCGAUGACAACCCCCGAGUAUGAAUGGUGGUGGGGUAGGAGAGUCAACGAUAACAUCCCUAGGCAGAAUCAAGGGAACACACAACCGACAGAGGAGCAUUUACGAGUCAUCCCAUCCGAGUUAGAGAUCAUUAAGCAAGAUUUUGAGAAAAGAAACUCGGAGUUGGGGAAGAAGAUAGAGCAGCUAGAAGAAGAUAAAAUGAAGUUGGGGUUAGACGUCGAUAUCCACAAGCUAGAGGCCGAGAAGUUAAGGAAAGGAAAGAACAAGGCCGAGGAAGAUUUAGAUAGUCUGAAAACCGAUUACAAGAAGCUUCGUAUAACAAUAAAAACUGUCGGAUUAGGUAAAACGUCGGAGCAAUGGCGUGAGAUUAAAGAGGAAAAGACUAGAGCCGACCAUUGGGAGAAAAGAUUUCAAGAUGCCCGAGUACGAGAGGACACUCUGAAGAAGAUUUUGUUAGAAACCCAAAAUGAAAAGGAGAAGUUACGAGCUCGGGUGGCUGAAUUAGAAAGAUUACUUCAGCAACAUCAUAGCCAUAAUUUGAUAAUUAAGCUAAAGGCUAGUCUGAGUAGGAUCGAAGAGUUGAAAGGGAAAAUAGAAGAACUCGAGACCGCACUGAGAGAUAUCAAAAUUCGAGUGGAACUUCUUGAGACAAACAACGACCAUUACAGAAAACAGCUUCACCACUCUCAAAACCAGAUUAGAGAUAGAGACUAUGUCAUGGGCGAAGCUAUAGCUCAGGUUCGGGAGAUAGCUGAUCACUUGCAAACCUUGGCAGUUCAGGCUGAUAUAUUGAGCUUAAAGUACGAGUUAGAAUCAGACCGAGGCUGAAGCUUAGCUUGGCUUCUUAGGAAAGUUAAUACUUUGGGCAUUAGGGCGAAGUCGUAUAUGUAAUCAUCCGUUCUAUGUAAAGAAAUUUUUCUUCUAGUGAAGUUCUUCUAAUGAAAUUGAAUUGGAAUCAACGCCUCUUUUUGCAUCCAUUCAUCCAUUCAUUGCAUAUACAUAUCCCAUUAUCAUUCGCUAAGGAUAGAAUCAUAUAAUUCGCAGUUGCAACACUUCAAAUCUGGAACCACGUCAUUCGUAUAAAACGCAUCGACAAGCUAGAGCAAUGGAGGCUGAGUUCAAUGAAAGAAUCGAAAGGAUGGAAAGAGUCCAGAAGGAAUUACAAGAACAACUGGCUAAGUCAUAGCAAGAAACGAGGGAUUUGAUAGUAAGAUCUCGAGAGGAAUCACUUGAACAAAAGGAUCAAAUGGCUAGAAUGGUGGAGAUGAUAUCAGUUUUGGUCAAAGGAAAAUGACCCACGCAGAACCCCGACAGUAUGGAACCUCAAUCAAGAAUUAAUCAUAACCAGGAUCCACUCUAUCCCCCAGGAUUCACUCCACCACAUGCCCACGUAGCACAAAGAGGGUAUACUGAAGGGGAAUCCACAGGCUUGGAACAACGACCUAUGCCAUUUGCUCAUCUAGGGCAAGGAAUAUUUAUGUCAAAUCCCGGAGCAACCCCUGCCAAUCCUGUAGCUCCAGAUUUAGAUGAUCCAGUCGAAAUAACUAAGUUGAAAAUAGAUGAUCAUGAGGCUCAAGAGAAGUAUAGGAAUUUGGAAGAAAAACUCAAGGCAAUAGAAGGCACUGAAGUCUUCUCGGUACUAGGUGCUAAAAAACUCAGUUUGGUACCUGACCUAAUCCUGCCUCCGAAGUUCAAGGUGCCUGAUUUCAAAAAGUACGAUGGGACAAGAUGUCCAAAAGCACAUAUUGUCAUGUUUUGCCGAAAAAUAACUGGUUACGUGAACGAAGAUAAGCUACUUGUACAUUGUUUUCAAGACUGUCUAGUAGGAUCGGCUCUUCGGUGGUACAACCAGCUCAGUAAGGAAAGGAUCCGAUCUUGGGAAGACUUGGCGUUGGCAUUCUGUGAGCAGUACAAGCAUGUAUCAGAUAUGGUGCCUGAUCGGAUGACUUUACAAAUGAUGGAGAAAAAGCCAUCAGAAACUUUUAGACAGUACGCGCAGAGAUGGAGGGACGUCUCAGCCCAAGUGGAACCCCCACUAAUGAAAACGGAGAUAACCGUCCUUUUUAUCAACACCUUAAAGACGCCGUUUUAUGACAAACUAGUGGGAAGCACCACGAAGGAAUUCGCGGAUAUUGUAAUAUCUGGUGAGCUUAUAAAGAAUGUCGUCAAGAGUGGUAGAAUGGAAGGUCAAGAAAGUUCAAGAAGGGUAGCACCCAUGAAGAAGAAAGAACCAGAAGCCUACAUGGUGGAAAUGGGAAGUCGUUAUGCCCCUAAUCCAUAUCCAAACCAACCCCGACCUCGAAGUUAUCCACCUCCAAAUUUCUAUUAUCCCCCUCAAACCCCUUACUACCAAGUACCACCUCCUUCCUACCCUGUAUAUGCCACGAACAACCAAAGACCCGUCACCACAUUCCCACAAAACAUGGUACCCGCUCAAAGCCAGCCCACAAAUGAACCAAGACCAGCAAGGCCUAAUCCCGAGAGACCGUAAUUUACUCCUAUCCCUGUGUCGUAUGGGGAGUUACACCCAAAACUUCUGGAGAAACAGCUGAUUUCUCCCCAUUACAUGGCACCCCUUAAACCUCCAUACCCAAAGUGGUACGAUCCAAACGCUAGUUGUGCACACCACGCGGGGAACCAGGGGCAUUCCACGGAGAUUUGCCUAGCCUUUAAGAGGAGAGUUCAAGGACUUAUUGACGCUGAUAUCCUACGGUUUGAUAGUACCAGUAACGUAACUGGGAACCCGUUCCCUAACCAUGCUGAAGGGAAUAUGAGCACAGUGGGGAAAGAGGACGAAUGGAAAGUCAGAAGAUGUGUUUCGGAAAUAAGGACGCCUCUGCAGAAAAUUUGGGAGGUACUGGUUAAGAAAGGAUUGCUUUGUCACCCCGAUAGAAUUCUCGGAGAAGAAGGUCAAAGUUUUUGCAAUUUCCAUGGAAUUGUGGUAGGACACGACAUUCAGUCGCGUGAGGAAUUUAAAAGGUUGCCUCAAGACCGGAUGGAUAAUAAAGAGAUUAAGGUCCUUAACAAGAGGGAAGAUACCAACGAAAGAGAAGUAUGCACCUCUGACAACCAGUCAUCAGGUCUCCCUUAUAGCGCGGAUCGACCGUUAAUAAUUUAUUACGACGCGACGAAAGAGCCAGUGAAACCAAAAAUGAUAAUCGAAGUACCGCCUCCUUUCCCGUACAAGGACGACAAAGCCGUACCAUGGAAAUAUGACGUCAAUAUCGUCACAUCGAAAGAUGAAAAGCUCAAAGCCAUAACUGGAGAUGUUGGAGAGAUAGGUCAUUUUACCCGAAGUGGAAGAUGUUAUUCGAAAGAGGUCGAACCAGUGAAGAAGAACAGUGACUGAAAGCAAAAAGGGAAAGCAGUGAUGCAUGAGGCCGAAGUCGAGCAAGAAAUUCCACCCGUGCAAGAAACUAAAAAGCCUGUGGAUGAAGAAGAAGCACAGGAGUUCUUGAAAUUUAUCAAACACAGUGAAUACAAUGUGGUGGAACAAUUGAAUAAGUAACUAGAAUGAAUCUCGGUUUUAUCUCUGCUGCUAAAGGUGGAUAAUUUUAUUUCUUUUAGUGAUGACGAAAUACCACCCAAUGGUAGCGGCUCCGUGAAAGCACUACAUGUUACGACGCGUUGCAAGGGCUACAUAAUACCGAAUGUGAUUAUCGAUAAUGGCUUGGCACUCAAUGUCAUGCCUUUGGCCACGCUUUCUAGAAUUCUGAUAGAUCUGUCCUUUUUAAGGCCCUGUCAUUCCACGGUAAGGGCAUUCGAUGGGACAAGGCGUGAAGUUAUGGGAAAGAUUGAUAUCCCUUUAGAAGUGGGCCCUUACAUUUACAAUGUCGAGUUCCAAGUUAUGGACAUCACAUCCUUAUAUAACUGUCUUCUUGGAAGGCCCUGGAUCCAUUCUGCUGAAGCAGUUCCAUCCUCUCUCCAUCAUGGAUGGUUGUUUGGUUACUGUCGAGGGAGAAGAAGACAUUAUCGCAUCUAUCUCUGCUGAUGCGCCAUAUCUUGAAGUAAGCAAAGACGCAGUGGAGUGUUCCUUCCGAUCUCUUGAAUUUGUUAAUGCCACUUUUAUCGCUGAGGGAAAUAGAAUUUUGGUGCCAAAACUAUCAAGAAAUACCAGAAUGGGUGUCAAGUUGACUAUAGGAAGGGGAGCUCGAGCGAGAAGAAGUUUAGGGAGAUAUCUGCAAGGAAUAGUCAGGGCUCUAAAGCCAGUACACCACAAGGCUCGAUACAGUUUAGGGUUCUAGCCGGACAUGCGUCAAAGAAGAAAUUAGUGGAAGGAAGAUCAGGAAAGAAGGAUCGCGAGAACAUUAGGCCGAGAACCAGAAUGGGAGCCCAUGAAAUUCCCUCAUUUGUCAAGAACAUUUACGUCUGCGGGAAUGAUAUACCCAGGGCAGUAUAGUGCACAAAGCACAAUGUUAAUGAUCGAAGAGAGUUUUCAGAAUAUCAGUAUAAAUGUCAUUGACAAAGGAGCUGACGCGAAUAAAGACGUCUCAAAGAUACGCCAUUGUCUCCCGGGUUUCAUGUUGAACAAUUGGACUGCCGAGGAUCUUCUUGUAGUUUAUAAGUCUUCAGAGUAAUGCUCAAAUGUUAACAUUCUGUUAUGUCCUUAGAUAUAAUAGAAUUCUUUUGUAAGAGCUUGCAUUCGCUCUUUAUCAUUUAAAUGAAUAUUAAUAAAGAUGCAUUUUGUCACGAUUUUUUUGCAUUAUCACUAAUUCCAUAAUCAUUUCAUAGCCUAUCUUUACAUUUGCCUCAUGCCAUACCAUAACAUUCAGUUUGUUGGUUUCAAUACUUGGAUGCCCCUCUAUAGUUUCCUUUUCCAUUCAACUUUCAGGUGCUCAGAUAUCAAUUGCAUGAACAAACCCGUUACGAGUCCUGAAAUCGAUUUUGAGAAGGCUGUUUGUUUAGGAGAAUUCGAAGCCGAAGAAAAUGCUGAAGACUAUGUCUCGUCUCCUGACUUGCUAAGAAUGGUGGAACAAUAGGAUAAACAGAUUUUGCCUCAUCAAGAGUUUGUUGAAACAAUAAACUUGGGAGCUGAAGAAAGGAAGCAAGAAGUGAAGAUUGGGACCUCUAUUUUAGGGGGCACCAGGCUUAAUUUGAUUACUUUGCUCCAUGAGUACAAAGAUGUAUUCGCAUGGUCAUAUCAAGAUAUGUCAGGAUUGGAUGAAGAUGUAGUGGUCCAUAAGCUCCCAUUGAAGCCAGAAUGCAAACCCAUUCAACAAAAGCUAAGACGGAUGAGACCUGAGAUGUUGUUGAAAAUAAAAGAGGAAGUCAAGAAGCAAUUUGAUGCUGGCUUCCUACAAACCUCCAAAUAUCCAGAGUGGGUGGCCAACAUAGUUCCGGUACCAAAGAAAGACGGCAAAGUACGAAUGUACGUGGAUUAUCGUGACCUGAAUCGAGUAAGUCCCAAAGAUAAUUUUCCCUUACCACACAUUGAUACGUUGGUGGAUAACAUAGCAAAACAUUCAUUGUUUUCUUUCAUGAAUGGAUUAUCGGGGUAUAAUCAGAUCAAGAUGGCCCCUGAAGAUAUGGAGAAAACUACCUUCGUAACAAUGUGGGGAACAUUCUACUACAAGGUGAUGCCAUUUGGGUUAAAAAUUGCUGGGGCAACAUAUCAGAGGGCUAUGGUGACGUUAUUCUAUGACAUGAUGCAUAAAGAAAUAGAGGUCUAUGUCGACGAUAUGAUUGCUAAAUCCCGAGGGGAAGAAGAGCAUGUAGUAAACCUGAAGAAGUUGUUCGACAGACUGAGAAAGUUCCAGCUAAAGCUCAAUCCGGCCAAAUGUACGUUUGGGGCUACCUCAGGAAAAUUACUUGGCUUCAUUGUCAGCGAGAGAGGCAUUGAAGUUGAUCCAGAUAAAAUAAAAGCCAUUCAAGAGUUACCACCUCCGCGCACGCAAAAGGAAGUCAGAGGAUUUUUAGGGAAAUUAAACUACAUCGCCCGAUUUAUCGCUCAACUUACCAACCAAUGUGACCCAAUCUUUUGACUCCUUCGAAAACAUAAUCCCGGGGAAUGGAAUGAGGAGUGCCAAGUGGCUUUUAACAAGAUAAAACAGUAUUUGUCUAGUCCUCCAGUGCUAGUACCACUAAUGCCGGAAAGACCAUUGAUAUUGUAUUUAACUGUGUUCGAGAAUUCAAUGGGUUGCGUACUGGGGCAAAAUGACGAGUCCGGAAAGAAAGAAAAGGCGAUCUACUACCUCAGCAAAAAGUUCACUGAAUAUGAGGCAAAGUAUUCGUCCAUAGAAAAAUACUGUUGCGCUCUGGUUUGGGUAGCUCGAAGACUCAGGCAAUAUAUGCUGUAUCAUACGACAUGGCUAAUUUCAAAGUUGGACCCAAUAAAGUACAUGAUGGAAUCACCUGCACUCUCAAGAAGAAUGGCACGAUGACAGAUCUUACUAUCAGAAUAUGAUAUCGUCUAUGUGAGCCAAAAGUCGAUAAAAGGGAGUGUAAUAGUUGACUUCUUAGCAACUCGAACAACGGAGGAAUACGAGCCAUGGAGAUUUGAUUUCCCAAAUGAAGACUUGAUGUGUAUUACAGAAAAAGAAUGUGAGUCAUCAAAAAAAAAGUCAUGGAAGAUGAGUUUUGAUGGUGCAUCGAAUGCAUUGGGGAAUGGGAUUGGAGCAGUCUUAGUAUCACCAGAAGGAAACCAUUACCCACUCACUGCCAGGCUGAACUUUUUCUGUACCAAUAACAUAGCAGAGAUUCGAAACUGGUCAAAUACAGUGAUCUAGUGGCAGAGCUGAUUAAAGAAUUCGAAGAAAUAACUUUUAAUUACCUCCCACGAGAAGAAAACUAAUUGGCUGAUGCCUUGGCCACAUUGGCUUCAAUGUUCAAAGCAAACAGAGAAACAAAAAUAAUGCCUCUUCAAAUGAGCAUAUAUGAAGUCCCUGCACAUUGUUUCAGCAUUGAAAAAGAGCCAGAUGGACGGCCAUGGUUCCGUGAUAUCUUAGAAUAUAUCAAGAACCAAAAGUAUCCUGAACAAGCAAAUGAGAAUGACAAAAGAACAAUCAGAAGAAUGGCAGCGAGAUUUUUUCUUGAUGGGAACAUCUUGUACAAAAGAGGAAAAGAUCAAGUACUCUUGAGAUGCGUAGAUGCUGUUGAAGCCAGAAAAAUACUUGAAGAUGUCCAUGAGGGAAUUUGUGGGACACAUGCCAAUGGUUUCACUAUGGCCAGGAAGAUUAUGAGACUCGGUUACUACUAGCUGACGAUGGAAAGCGACUGCAUUAGUUUUGCAAGAAAAUGCCACAAAUUUCAAAUUUAUGGCGAUAAGAUUCAUGUAGCCCCUUCGCCCCUUCAUGUCAUGACUUCUCCGUGACCCUUUUCUAUGUGGGGCAUGGGUGUUAUAGGGCCAAUUUCCCCAAAAGCUUCUAAUGGCCACUAGUUCAUUUUUGUGGUUAUUGAUUACUUCACAAAAUGGAUAGAAGCUGCUUCGUUUGCCAAUGUGACAAAGACUGUAGUUUGCAGAUUUUUGAAAAAGGAAAUCAUUUGUCGAUAUGGUGUUCCUGAGAGAAUCAUUUCAGAUAACGCCUUGAAUCUAAACAACAAAAUGAUGAAGGAAGUGUGUGAGCAGUUUCAAAUAAAGCAUCAUAACUCGUCACCCUAUCACCCGAAAAUGAACGGAGCUGUUGAAGCAGCCAACAAGAAUAUUAAGAAGAUUAUUGGAAAAUGACUGAGACAUAUAAAGAUUGGCACGAGAAGCUACCAUUUGCUUUGUAUGCAUAUCGCACAUCUGUAUGGACAUCUACGGGGGCAACUUCUUUCUCUCUGGUCUAUGGAAUAGAAGUUGUGCUACCUAUCGAAGUUGAGAUCCCCUCUUUACGAGUCUUAAUGGAUUCGAAACUAGAGGAAGCAGAAUGGGUUCGAGCUCGAUAUGACCAGUUAAACCUCAUCGAAGAAAAACGCUUAAAGGCAAUUUGUCACGGACAGAUGUACUAGAAGAGAAUGAUCGCGGCCCAUGACAAGAAAAUACGGCCAAGAGAAUUCCACGAAGGAGAACUCGUGCUGAGAAAGAUUCUUCCAAUACAGAAGGACUUACGAGGAAAAUGGGCACCAAAUUGGGAAGGACCAUAUGUCGUAAAGAAGGCAUUCUCGGGCGGAGCUUUGAUUCUCACUGAAAUGGAUGGGAAGGAGUUACCGAAUCCAGUGAAUUCAGAUGCUGUGAAGAAAUAUUAUGCUUAAAAAAGGAAAAUCAAGAUGAAAACCCAAAAAGGGGCAUCUUAAAAAAAAGAGAAAAGAAAAGAAAAAAGAAAAAGAGAGAGAGAUCAACGUAAAAACCCGAAAAGGAUGUCUUGAUUAAUACAAAAGAUUAGGAUGAAAACCCUAAAGGGCGUUCUAAUGAAGCAAGCACUGGCUUAAAAAGUAAGGCGUUUUGAACGGUGGGUUAAACAGAGAGACUACAGUAUUUGAAGCAUUUCUGAAAACUCUAAAUCUCUUACGCAAGAAAGCCAUGCUCGAAAAGAUUCUUGAUUGAGGAACGUGGAAGAGUUCAUGCGUUGAAUAUCUAGAGCAUUUGUAUUUGUUGAAAUGCGAUCCCCUUUCUCUUUAUGACACUUUUUUUUACUAGCAUUGAUUAACUUUCUUUGUUUGCUACAUUUGAAAUGAAUAAAUGUGAGGUAUCCUUUUGUUCCUAACUGACCAUUUUCAUGCAGCUCAUUAUGUGGUUCAUUUACAUGAUAAAUAGUGAAAUGAUAUACUCUAAACAAAAGAAGUGUUAAGCAUUACCCGGACAAGAAUUUGAUAAGUACAAGAGCCUCAAAGCAAGGACAAAGUUUAACCAGGGGUAAAAGAGCGAUAUCUGAGAAACGCAGAUUAGUCGUGAAGCUAGAGGAUGGGUACAGGGCCUGAAGAGAAAGUCAAGAGUCAAAACAAUAAACGCAGAUCAUCAAAAAUCAUGACGGAAAGGGACAUAUGACAAGCAAGCCCAAGGCACAUAGCAUGAUCAUGUAGGCAUAAAGGCAUUUAAGGCAAACAUGUGCAUUUCAUGAUAACAUCAUGCAUGACAUAUACAUAUACUUCAGCAGAACAAGAGAUUUCGAUGAUAGCUAUACUGAAUCAAAGGAAAGGACACCUGAGUUCCACCAGAUGACAUCUUUUGGUAUUUUGAUGUUUUUAUUUCUAUCUUUCAAAAAAAUCAACUCAUCUUUUGGUAUUUUCAAUUUCUGUUUUUUCAAUUUAUGCUUUUCAAAAAUCAACUCAUAUUGCGAGAGGUGAGCUGAGCCUCGGGGCACGCCGAGGUAUUUUUAAUUUCUAUUUUUCAAUUUUUGUUUUUAAUUUCUUUUUUUCAAAAAUCAACUCAUAUUACGAGAGGUGAGUUGAGCCUCAGGGCACGCUGAGGUAUUUUCAAUUUCUGUUUUUCAAUUUUUGCCUUACAAAUUCUGCUUUUCAAUCAACUCAUAUUGCGAGAGGUGAGUUGAGCCUCAGGACACGCUGAGGUAUUUUCAUUUUUCAUUUUUUUAAUUUAUGUUUCUAAAAAAAUUAACUCAUAUUGUGAGAAGUGAGUUGAGCCUCAGGACACGCUGAGGUAAUUUCAAUUUUUGUUUGUCAAAACUCAACUCAUAUUGCAAGAGGUGAGUUGAGCCUCAAGACACGUUGAGGUAUUUUCAAUUUCUAUUUUUCAAAAAAAUCAACUCAUAUUGCGAUAGGUGAGUUGAGCCUCAGGACACGCUGAGGUAAUUUCAAUUUUUGUUUGUCAAAAAUCAACUUAUAUUGCGAGAGGUGAGUUGAGCCUCAAGACACGUUGAGGUAUUUUCAAUUUCUGUCUUUAAAAAAAAAUCAGCUCAUAUUGCGAGAGGUGAGUUGAACCUCAAGACACGUUGAGGUAUUUUCAAUUUCUGUUUUUUCAAAAAAAUCAACUCAUAUUGCGAUAGGUGAGUUGAACCUCAAGACGCUGAGGUAAUUUCAAUUUUUGUUUGUCAAAAAUCAACUCAUAUUGCGAGAGGUGAGUUGAGCCUCAAGACACGUUGAGGUAUUUUCAAUUUCUGUCUUUCAAAAAAAAUCAGCUCAUAUUGCGAGAGGUGAGUUGAACCUCAAGACGCUGAGGUGUUUUCCAUUUCUGUUCUUCAAUUUCUGUGUUUCAAAAAAAUCAGCUCAUAUUGCGAGUGGUGAGUUGAGCAUUGACUCACACGCUGAGGUAUUUUCAAAUUCUGUUUUUCAAAUUUUGUUUUUCUAAAAAAAUCAACUCAUAUUACGAGAGGUGAGUUCAGCCUCAGGACACGCUAAGAUAUUUUCAAAUUAUUUUUUUUCAAUUUAUGUUUGUCAAAAAAAUCAACUCAUAUUCCGAGAGGUGAGUUGAACCUCAGAUCACACGCCGAGGUAUUUUCAAUUGAUUUUUAUUUUUAUUUUUUUUUCAAUUUAUGCUUUGCAAAAAUCAACUCAUAUUACAAGAGGUGAGUUGAGCCUCGGGUCACAUACUGAGGUAUUUUCAAAAUCUGUUUUACAAAUUUUGUUUUAAAAAUUAACUCAUAUUGCGAGAAGUGAGUUGAGCCUUGGCUCACGUGCUGAGCUAUUUUCAAUUUCUGUUUUUAAUGUUUAGUUUUAAAGAGUCAAUUCAUAUUGCGAGAAAUGAGUUAAGCUCAGCAUCACAUGCCGAGUAAAGAAUAAAGAAUGGAAUUAAUCGAAGACACAGAUUUUAUAUCCCUGAAGUUACAGUGAAGCUAGUUGAAGUUGCAGUGGAGCUGAUCGAUGAUAUCAGAUCUUACCUUUCUAAAAGUUGCAGAAGAGAAGACCACAAAUUUUAUCUGACUAAAACGAUGGAAGAGCAGAUUAAAGCUGUAGAUCUUAUCUUUUUGAAGUCACCUUGGAGUAAAUCGAAGCUACAAGGCAUAUAUCAGAAGAUGCAGUGGAUUUGAUCAAGACAACAAGAUACAGUGGUUUGGAAAGAGACUACUUGGAUGAGAAGAGCACCAAAGAAGUCCAUACUUAGUAAGACUGGGCAAAAUUGGCCUUUCUUUGUGUCUUUGCUUUAUUCCCGUUACACGAUAAUAAGCAAAGAAGGCAGCUGUUGUAGGCCAAUUUUAACCCAUUUACAUCAAAACCCAAUUAACAUUACCUAACCCACCAAAAUUAAACCUAAAACCCAAAAUCUUAACUACCCAAAGCCCAAUUUACAUCAAAACCCUAAUGGCCCAAACCCUAAGCCCAAAUCAAAAUAAAAAAACCCUAGCCCACAACCUAAACUUUUCUCAACUAAAUCCUAGCCAUUGCCACCACCAACUCCACUAGCCACACUUGCUCCACCACCUACUCCACUAGCCACACUUGCUCCACCACCUACUCCAUUAGCCACACUUGCUCCACCACCACUUGUACCUACAAAUGAAGACAUAAACAAUAAAAAAUAUUUGGUAAAUGGCUAUAUAAGCCUUCUCAUAUUUUGUAUUUAGGAGAGGAAGAAGUUUU
rnacentral:lncRNA from 1 species